UGAUUUCAACAACAAUAAAAAUUUCAUGGAUCUUAUCUUGUUCUUGAUAGAAACUAAACUAAUUCUCGGAUAGCAAAACUUAGUAAAAACAAAUUGGGGACCACACACUAAACCAAGUUCACAGAAAAUCCUAGUUGGCUGUUAUAAUAUAUAAUGAGUCAUGUGUGCACAUUCCUGUAGCCAUGUACUUCACAUAAGAGAAGCCAUACAUGAGAGCAGAUAUCAAUAGAAGAUAGAAGACAAAUUAGCUUGG
rnacentral:lncRNA from 1 species